AAAGACUUUCUGAUAAGGCGAUCCAAACGUGUUUGUCGUUCUACUCGAAUGUGUAUCGCAGUCUCCUCUGCGGUUGCGUGUGCGUGGAUUUUCCAUUAAUUAACUACGAAGCAAGCGGCGGGACGACGUUGACAUUAAGGCAUCAUCAGCAGAGUCGACCUCUAUAAUUAAGGCUGAACCCGGGAGAGAGGCCCAAAAGCCGCGAAAUGUGGACAAGACCAACUGAGGAAAACUGUAUCAAUGUGUCGGAAUAAGACUAGGGUAUACCCCUUGGUAAAUCGUCACACCUCCCCCCUAGGUCUUGAUGGAAAAACCCGACUCGGACUCGACAACUUUUUUCUAUAAUAGGGAGUAUGGAAAGAAAACAAAAGGCGGGAAUCGAGCUCCAGCAUUGCCAUCAUGGAUGGAGAUGAAGUCACAGAGCCACCAAAUGAGCGUUGAUGAGUUCCAUUUAAAUAAAAUCUUGAUCGGCAGGCAGACCAAGUCGCGGCAUCCGUUUUGAGGCCCAUAGAGACCAUGCUGAGGGGCAGUCGGAGCAAAAUUAAUAUCGUAAAAAGAUACAUCCGAUAAUUUAUGAAACAUAAAUAACUAAAACAAAAAUACAAAUCAUUUGUCCGAUGACAGUUGCUGCGUCUGUUUUUCAAUAGCUUUUUCGAAUUGAUUCCGUUGCUUGAUGGCGUUCAUCGUCGAUUUUCGUUUCUCUGUGGUUUUUUAUUAUCUUUCAUUCCCUUGGUCGAAUCCAGCUGACAUUUGCUUAUUAUUAUUGGUCAGCCCGGACCGGGACCGUUUCAUCUUGCUGGUGAAUCGACGGCUGGAACGUUGAAUUUAUGUAAAUCGCGCUCUCCGAAUCUGAAGUAGGUACGCACCACGACCAAUUAUGAAUUUAUUGUGGCUGUCUUGGAGGAUUUUUGUUUUUAUGUUCGCGGCCCAACGUUCUCUGCCGAAAAUUUAACUAAUAUUGUACAAUUUCAGAUAAAGUGACAUAAACCAUCAACUGAGUGGUGCAGACAGAAGUGGAUCAAUAGUAGACGUUAUUUUAAGACUAAAAGGGUAUCAUAGAUUCGUUGAAAAAUAUGUAAAAAGUGUAGAAGAAAGCGUUUCCGACCAGGAUCACUCGCCGAGUCGAUCUGGUUAUGUCCGCCCGUAUGAACGUCGAGAUCUCAGGAACUAUAAAAGCAAGAAAGCUUAUAUUAAGCUUGCAGAUUCUAGAUACAUAGACUCCUGCGAGCUGAGUAAAGGAUAUUUGAUAGUCAACGAACUGGACUACCACAUAUAACGUAAAGACUUUGGAAUACAAUUACUAGCACCCUUUUCCCCUUUUAAACCAUAGCUCCAUGAUUCUUUUACACAGCAAAUCAAAUUGAUACCCACAUUUAUCGUUUUUCCAUUUAGUACGUGUACUAUGCCACCGCACGCAUCCACAUUUUCCUCGCAGUCGGCUUCGAUGUUGUGUUAAUUUGACCAAAUUUUUGAGAUCAUCAGUCUAACAACGACUUCUUAUUGGAGGCUCUUGCUUGGAGUCCACAGUUCACAUCUGAACACCGUAAGCGGUGCUCCCUUGCACUUCGUUGUGUUCGAUAGAGCUCACAAAUCAAGGGUGAAAUAUAUUCGGCGAGCGAUAAAAAUUCAGCAAAGAGGAAACACAGACCUCAAGCGAAUGGAGGAGUCUAUAUACAUGAAAAUGAAGAUGUAAAUUAUACGAAAUGUGAGGCAUUGACCAACCAAAGAGCAGCCACAACAUGGAGGACUGGAAGACGGCGAGCCAUUCCGAACACCAGAGGCAGGUAAUGCUAUCAAUCUACAAGCUGUACCUAACAGAUGCACUGCAGUGCGAGAGAGGCGGCACUACAGUAUGUUGAAAGGGAUGGUAUGGAGCUGAGUGCCGGGUAAGGAAAGGCAGCUCGCAUACUCGUAUAUAAGAAACACCCUCCCGGGCAAAUGAUUGAUUGCUCAUCAUUUUUCAUUCUUAAUGAAAAUGCACCCCGCUGGCAAGAGUUGAGUUCACUCGCUGGUUGGCUGCCCCGUAGAUCCAGUCGCCAAUGUAUCUGUAUCUGUUUCUGUGUCUAUGUCUGUGUCUGUGUCUGUGUCUGUGUCUGUGUCUGUGUCUGAAUCUGUAUCUGUAUCUGUAUCUGUACCUGCGUCCGUGCCCCGGUGCGGCUGUGUCUGUGCUCGUGGCACACCUGAGUCGCUCAGACAAGCUAGCAGAAAGGUGCAAAGGUGCGAUUAUCGCGACUGUGGCGGGGAGUGGGUCUAGCUAAGCUUGGCCAAAUUUCACGUUCGCCGCCCAGAGGCAUAAAAAUGGCUGCCAAGAGAGAACAUGGCUUCCCCGUUCCACCACCAUUCCUCGUUCUCACCCGGCUGCCAGUCAACUGUCAACUGUUCUGUGCCCGCGUCAUGCUAUGCAUCAUCUUAUGGCAGUUAUUAACCUUUGGUGUGCUCCGCCCAACUCUACAUGUUUGCUGCUCGUAUCCUCCUGUCCCCGCGCUUCCAUCCGCCUGAUCUAGGAGUUUGCCGUGGUAGCAAUUGCAGAAAUUAAACAAACUUCCAGCUACAGUUCCCGUUUUUACACUGGGCAAAAAAAGCACUUUGCAAGAGCCAACAUAAAAAUCGUUACAUAUACGGAUGAUAAUAGUAAUAUUAAAUAACAAUAAGAAACGGAGUAGGUAUUAUUUUUAAUGCCACCGUAAGGAAGAAUAAAAACAUCUUACUUUUUACUUUGUUGUACGGGGUCAUCUCGGAUGGUAGCUAUAGGAUAGGAUAGGGAUUUGGAGCAUCUUGGACCGACGACUAUGAAUAAACAUUAAUAUUUUUUCUAGUUUAAUCUUAUCCAAUACCAUCAUUAGAUUUAAGCUGUAAAUAUGUGUAGGCCGUUCCUUUUCCUCUCUAUUUCUGAGCGACACACAUUUUGGGAUCAGAGAUGGGGUCAAAGGAGGAACUGUCGCCUACUCGGCGGGCAUUGCUGCUCUUGGGCCACUGGAAUUGGAGGUGGAGAGGGCUGUUAAUGGGCGGCAUAGCCACCCUCGUCAACGACAAAAAUCCAGCCUGUUUGUCACAUUGCCGGGCCACCCAGCCACCCAGCCAGCCAGCCAGCCAGCCACCCAGGCACCCACCGAGCCAGUCAGCCAUCAUCAUCAUCAUCAGCAUCUGAGUAAACAACUGAACAUGGACAGUAAAUUGUAGACGUCAUAAUGUUGAGGGCGAGCAGUACCGACAACAGUAGCACAGUACGAAAAUCGUCGACGGCAACUGUAUAAGUUAUUACGCUGUGUACUCUUUGCGCACAUAAAAAUACAUUAAUAAAUAUUAUUUAUGAAUACUCGCAUGUAGCAUAUAUAGCGCACCAUUCUGUGCAACAUCUUCUUUGCACAUCUACCACUUUUCAGCUUGCUCAUCAUCGAGCUCCACCCCCAUAAACUGACGUGCAAAGAUGGGAGGAGAAUGUUCACGUGUGGAUUGGACCCGCUCCAGGAGCCAUAUAGGUGCCGUAUUCGCAACUUGUUAAACAUAUCGGAGCAACUGGAUAGGUAACAAUAGGGGUACAGAUUUGUAAUAAUAAUUUUAAAAAAUAUAGAAAUUGGAUACUGAAUUUUAGGAAAUCAAGGAGAAUAUUAA